rnacentral:ncRNA from 1 species
AAAUAGAUAAAAUUUGUGAUUUUAAAAAUUUAUUUUUAAUUUAUUUUAUAUGUAAAUUUUAGUGUUAAUAUUAUAUUAUUUUAAUAAUAAUAAUUUAUUUUACAGUAAAUAGUAUUAAAAAUUUAAGAAAUUAUGAUUUAGUAAUAUUAAAAUUAAUAACUAAUUUUGUGCCAGCAGUUGCGGUUAUACAAAAAUUAAAAUGAAUUUUUUUAGCUAUAAUUAAUAUUAAAAAAUUAAAAUAAAUUUUAAAUUAUUAAGUGAAAUUUUAAUUUGAUUAAAUUUUAUAUUAUAAUUAUGAUUUAAAAAAAUUUAUAGAAAACUAGGAUUAGAUACCCUAUUAUUAAAAAAUUAAAUUAAAAUGCUAAAAUAGUAAAUUUUAUAUUAUUGAAACUUAAAUAAUUUGGCGGUAUUUUAGUUUAUUUAGAGGAAUCUGUUUAAUAAUUGAUAAUCCACGAAUAAAUUUACUUAAUUUAUUAUUUUAUAUAUCGUUGUUAAAUAAAUAUUUUUUGAUAAAAAUAAUAUUUAAAAAUUAUUAAUAAAAAUUAAUUCAGAUCAAGAUGUAGAUUAUAAUUAAGAAUAUAUGGAUUACAAUAAAUUUAUUUAAAUGAAUAUUAUUUUGUAAAAUUUAAUUAAAGGUGGAUUUAAAUGUAAUUUUAUUUAAUUUAGUAAAAUGAUUAAUAAUUAAAAUAUGUACAUAUUGCCCGUCGCUUUCAUUUUAAAAUUGGAAUAAGUCGUAACAAAGUAGAGGUACUGGAAAGUGUUUCUAGAAAGAU